GAUGAACGCUGGCGGCGUGCCUAAUACAUGCAAGUCGAGCGGCAGCACGGUCUUCGGACUGGUGGCGAGCGGCGGACGGCUGAGUAAUACGUAGGAACCUGCCCUCAAGCGGGGGAUAACUAAGGGAAACUUUAGCUAAUACCGCAUAAUCUCGAGAGAGUAAAGCUGCAGCAAUGUGGCACUUGAGGAGGGGCCGGCGUCAGAUUAGCUUGUUGGUGAGGUAAUGGCUCACCGAGGCGAUGAUCUGUAACUGGUCUGAGAGGACGACCAGUCACACUGGGACUGAGACACGGCCCAGACUCCUACGGGAGGCAGCAGUGGGGAAUAUUGGACAAUGGGGGCAACCCUGAUCCAGCGAUGCCGCGUGGGUGAAGAAGGCCUUCGGGUUGUAAAGCCCUUUAGGUCGGGAAGAAGGUUAGUAGAGGAAAUGCUAUUAAUUUGACGGUACCGACAGAAUAAGCACCGGCAAACUCUGUGCCAGCCGCCGCCGUAA
rnacentral:rRNA from 1 species